UUGGACUUGAGCAUCUGGAUGGAGUAGUAGACGGGGACGCCGUGGUAGAGGAGGAGCGACGCCUUGCCCUCGGCGGUGAGGUUCUUGAACUUGGGCAUGAAGGCCUUGACGGCGGCGUCGCCGGGGCAGAAGACGGUCAGGCCGCCGUCGACGGUGGCGUCGAAGGUCUUCUCGACGUCGGGGUCGGCGAGAAGGAGGUCGGCGAAGGCCUUGCAGCCCUUCUUGGACAUGAGGUCGGUGAGGUUCACCGGCGCCGGAGGCGGGACGGGCGCCUCGGCCUCCGGCGAGGUGAGGACGGCAUUGAUCUCGAUGACGGAGAGGUCGUAGGGCAUUUCUUUGACGGACUUAACGAAACUGGCUGGAGCUGUGCUGUCGCCGGCGUCCUGGGCGAUGAAGGUGACCUUGCCGGCUCGAUGGUCGGUGAUGUUGACGUAGCCCGAGGUUCCAGGGGCGUCGCCGGUGGCCUGGAACAUGGAGGAGGCGACGGCGGAGCCGCCGGUGAGCUGGUGGAGCUUCUUGGCGCCGUAGUAGUCGGCGAGGAUGUGGAGGCGGAGAACGUUGCGAAGGGACUCGAGGGUGAGGUGCUUGGCGAGGAGCGGGGCCAUGGCGGAGUUGUCGACGGCGAGGACGGUGAUGGUCCGCCGCCGG
rnacentral:lncRNA from 1 species